rnacentral:rRNA from 1 species
GCCCCACCGUAAAAUUUAUACUUACAUCAACAAACGCCCGGGUAUUACGAGCAUCAGCUUAAAACCCAAAGGACUUGACGGUGUCCCACCCAACUAGAGGAGCCUGUUCUAUAAUCGAUAACCCCCGAUAUACCCUACCCCCCCCUCGCCAAUCAGCCUGUAUACCUCCGUCGCAAACUUACCAUAUGAAUGCCAACAGUAAGUUAAAUAGUUCAUAACAAACACGUCAGGUCAAGGUGCAGCUCAUGAUGGGGAAAGCAAUGGGCUACAAUUUCUAAAAUAGAACAUACGAAAUGCUGCAUGAAACACAGCCACGAAGGCGGAUUUAGUAGUAAAAAGCGAUCAUAGAGCCCUUUUUAAUAAGGCCCUGGGACGUGUACACACCGCCCGUCACCCUCUGGAGUCAAA